GACAGAGGGUGCAAACGUUGCUCGGAAUUACUGGGCGUAAAGCGCGUGUAGGCGGACUGGUGUGUCGGAUGUGAAAUCCCCAGGCUCAACCUGGGAACUGCAUUCGAAACUGCCAGCCUUGAGUGGUGGAGAGGGAAGUGGAAUUCCUGAUGUAGAGGUGAAAUUCGUAGAUAUCAGGAGGAACACCAGUGGCGAAGGCGGCUUCCUGGACACCAACUGACGCUGAGACGCGAAAGCGUGGGGAGCAAGCAGG
rnacentral:rRNA from 1 species